CUCCGGAUGUUAGCGGCGGACGGGUGAGUAACACGUGGGUAACCUGCCUGUAAGACUGGGAUAACUCCGGGAAACCGGAGCUAAUACCGGAUAGUUCCUUGAACCGCAUGGUUCAAGGAUGAAAGACGGUUUCGGCUGUCACUUACAGAUGGACCCGCGGCGCAUUAGCUAGUUGGUGGGGUAAUGGCUCACCAAGGCGACGAUGCGUAGCCGACCUGAGAGGGUGAUCGGCCACACUGGGACUGAGACACGGCCCAGACUCCUACGGGAGGCAGCAGUAGGGAAUCUUCCGCAAUGGACGAAAGUCUGACGGAGCAACGCCGCGUGAGUGAUGAAGGUUUUCGGAUCGUAAAGCUCUGUUGUUAGGGAAGAACAAGUGCGAGAGUAACUGCUCGCACCUUGACGGUACCUAACCAGAAAGCCACGGCUAACUACGUGCCACCAGCCGCGGUAAUACGUAGGUGGCAAGCGUUGUCCGGAAUUAUUGGGCGUAAAGGGCUCGCAGGCGGUUUCUUAAGUCUGAUGUGAAA
rnacentral:rRNA from 1 species